GGUCGGUCGGACAUCGGCCUCUCUGCUGCCCUUAUAUAAAUAUAUAUAAAAUAUUUAUGAAAUGUAUAUAAAAUGAAAAUCAUAAUACAGAAUCAUGGUCAUUAAAAUCCUGCUGACAAACAGCUGUCCUCAUUUUUAACUUGACGGGUAGUGUCCACCAGAGGGCACUGAGGAGUUGGUCUGAAGCUCUCCGGUCUUUGUAAAGCACAUUAGAUGAUUCAACAGUCCAGUGACGUGUCUGUCUUCAGAGUCUUUCUAAUCCAGUGGAGACGAUCGUGUUGCAUAGAACAUAAAUUAAUGGGACUGAAGGAAAGGUUGACCUUCUCUGUACAUGUUACCUACUGGAGGACAUUUUUAUUUGUUACUUUUCUACCUGUGCAUCUCAAUAACUUGUCCUUCUCUCUUCCAUCGAGGUGGAAGUGGAUGGACGACAUGACACGGACUUGGCGACUGCCUGGAUCUUCACCUGGACGUCUUGAUGGACGGUCCCCUGCCUGCUUCCUGUGUUGAUGUGGAUCCCUGCUGAGAACCUGUCACAGCUCAAGAAGAGAAUACGUCACUGCAAGAAAUAUUAAGGAAGAAUUUAAUCAUAAACAGACAGUUUGUAUGAAAAUCACAAUACAGUUAUGGUGUUAAAUAUUUAUCUUUGUCUGUCAGCAGGAUGAAAAGCUCCUGAUCUGGAGAAAGGGGCGGAGCCAGGGAUGUUAAGUUUCUUUCUUUAACAUUUUUUAACAUGAUUUUUCACAGAAUAAUUCAUGGAUCUAGAUGAAUGAGACAGAACAAUAAAACAUGGUCAAAGAAUUAAGAAAAAUAGUUUUGUUCAUUUCAAAGUUAAAUCAUCAAUGUGGUGAACUUUAGGAGGCUCGAUCUAUAGUUGGUAAAGAUAUGAAUGAUGAUUACCACUGUUAAUAUCAUAACAUCCAGCGUGUUGUAUGGACAAAAAGGAGCUCCUUAAGAAAAUAUCAUUCUUAACAUAAAAACAAUAACAGUCCAUUUCUCUUCAUUGUAGUUUAAAUGUUCUGUCAGUCGGUGUGUUGGUUGGUCUGUAGGUGGGUGAGUCUGUUGGUCGAUACGUUAAUCUGUCUGUAAGUUGAUCCGUUGGUCGAUACGUCUAUCUGUCGGUCAGUUGAUCUGUUGGUUGAUACGUCGGUCAGUUGGUCUGUUGAUCCGUCGGUCUGUUGGUUGAUACGUUUCUGUCGGUCGGUCUGUUGGUCGAUACGUUGGUCUGUUGGUCGAUACGUUUGUCGGUCGGUCUGUUGAUCCGGCGGUUGCUUGGUUGGUCUGUUGGUUGAUACGUUUAUCUGUCGGUCAGUUGAUCCGUCGGUCUGUUGGUUGAUACGUUUAUCUGUCGGUCAGUUGAUCCGUCGGUCUGUUGGUUGAUACGUUUCUGUCUGUUGGUCGAUACGUCGGUCGGUCUGUUGGUCUGUUGAUCCGUCGGUUGCUUGGUUGGUCUGUUUUGUUGAUCGGUCUUGUCGGAGUUCAUGUAGUUUCUGGACUGGAGGUUUCUCCUCCUGCAGUUAAACCAUCACACUGACACAGAUUUAUUGAUUUUAAGUGAGUUGGAUCAAACCAGAAAAAAAAUCUCCAAAGAAUUAAAUCACUGAACAUAAAUUACAUCCACAGUCUGACCCAUAACAAAAUGAGAUUACAGUGCGACUGAAGGAAAGGUUGACCUCUGUUACCUACAUUUUUAUUAGUUACUUCUCUACCUGUGCAUCUCAAUAACUCGUUCUUCUCUCUUCCUUCGAGGUAAAUGGUGAACUGUGUGGACGACGUGACACGGACGGUCCCCUGCCUUCUGUGUUGAUGUGGAUCCCUGCUGAGAACCUGUCACAGCUCAAGAAGAGAAUACUUCACUGUAAGAAAUAUUAAGGAUGAAAAGUUCGUGAACAUAGAUCUGGACAAAGGGGCGGAGCCAGGGAUGGCUUGUGGUGGCUGCAGAGUCACUACAUCCCCUCCCACAUGUUAGACAUCAAGUUACUGUGCAUUAUAUAUGUUUACCUACUGCGGGAGAUGGUUACUACAUUUUAACACAGCAGGGAAUUGAUAAUAAUUUUGAUCUGUUAUUUCUCAAUAACUUGUCUUUUUCCUCUUCCUAUGAAACUAAAGUGGAUGUGACACUGACUCACCUGGACCUUUGCCGGGGCCUGGAGACAUGCUUCCUGUCUGUGAUCAUUCUGUAAUCUGACAUCAUCGAGCUAAAGGAAUCCCAUUUGUCUCUGUGAUCAUCAGGUGUUGAUGUGGAUCCCUGCUGAGAACCAGUCACAGCUCAAGAAGAGAAUACUUCACUGCAAGAAAUAUUAAGGCAAAGUAUUUAAUCAUAAACAGACAGUUUGUAUGGAAAUCGCAAUACAGAUUUGUCUUUGUCUGUCAGCAGGAUGAAAAGCUCCUGAACGAGGAUCUGGACAAAGGGGCGGAGCCAGGGAUCGGUAGUUUCGUUUUUUAACAUGUUGACGACUCACAGAAUAAUUCAUGGAUCUAGAUGAAUGAUACCAAACAAUACAUUGAAAUGGGAAAAA